rnacentral:rRNA from 1 species
UACGGAGGGUGCAAGCGUUAAUCGGAUUUACUGGGCGUAAAGCGCACGUAGGCGGCUUGUUAAGUCGGAUGUGAAAUCCCCGGGCUCAACCUGGGAGCGGCAUUCGAUACUGGCAAGCUGGAGUACGAGAGAGGGGGGUGGAAUUCCAGGUGUAGCGGUGAAAUGCGUAGAUAUCUGGAGGAACACCGGUGGCGAAGGCGGCCCCCUGGCUCGAUACUGACGCUGAGGUGCGAAAGCGUGGGGAUCAAAC